CAGUAGCCGCGGUAAUACGUAGGGUGCGAGCGUUAAUCGGAAUUACUGGGCGUAAAGCGUGCGCAGGCGGUUCGUUAAGACAGAUGUGAAAUCCCCGGGCUUAACCUGGGAACUGCAUUUGUGACUGGCGAGCUAGAGUAUGGCAGAGGGGGGUAGAAUUCCACGUGUAGCAGUGAAAUGCGUAGAGAUGUGGAGGAAUACCGAUGGCGAAGGCAGCCCCCUGGGCCAAUACUGACGCUCAUGCACGAAAGCGUGGGGAGCGAACAGGAUUAGAUACCCCUGUAGUCCCUGUCUCUUAUAC
rnacentral:rRNA from 1 species